AAACCUGUCAAGCGGAGCCAGCCAGGAUUGCCCUUCGCGGGAGAUACUCAACUUUCAGCCUCUGGGCCCUGUGGAUGUUAGAAGAAUGACAGGAGACAGACACUGUCUGAGGAGAAACCCAACUGCUUUUCCAUAUUGCAGCAACUACUCAACUGCCUCCAGAACUGUCUUUCACCAUCCAGCUUCCAAUUUAUUGUCUGGCCUUGUCGACUUCAGUGUGAUUUGAGCAUGCAGUUGAACUUAGAAACAUCAUUUUAUAUAUUUUUUUUCCCAGACUAAAGGUGGAGGAUCAAGAAGGUAGAAAAAAAUUCCUUCCUUCAGUGUGGGGAUCAAAGUUCUGCCUGGUGGAAGGAGUUAACAUUGUCCAGAAAAAUGCUGAGGAGAGGAAUAAUGGAAUCUGGUCAUGUGGCUACUCAUAAAUAGGAACAUAACUACUGUGAUCUAGAGAGGAACGCCCUAUCUAGAAGGAAGAACUCUUCAGCCACUGGGAAUAGAAGACUUCCUCUUUUUCUUUUCACUCCUCAACUCCAAAAGCAUGAUCAGUAUCUAAAUUUUCACCUCUAAUAUUCUUUUGUUAUUAGUAUUCAAUUGUAAACUCUUAAUAAUUUUAACAAUUACUGGCCUGAGAAGAAGUGAUAGACAGAAUUGGUCAAAUUGUUUUUUGUUUAAUUCAGUCUUGCUGUCUCCCACUCCUGACCACCUGACCUGCUUUUUUUUUACCUUACGUUUCCCCUUAUUUUACAGUUUGCAGCACAUGCUAUGCAUAUCACUGGCCUGCACAUUUGAAUUAAUUAUGUUUUCCUGAAGAAGAAAUGGGACAAGAAACUAGGCCAAUUAUUAGCUGUUAACCAACAGAAACACAUUCAUACUAGUGGUCCCAAAUGUUCCCUGGCCCUCUGUUUAAAAUUAAUCCAUCAGAAAAUCACAUGGAGGAUGCUCAAGAACCCCCUCCAAUUAUUUAAAAUCAUGUCAUUAAGCAGACAAAUGCUGGCACCGCAACUCAGCAGGCGCUAAUUUAACCCAUAUGCUUUGGGAUUGUUCCUACAUCCAUUUGUCCUGGCCAGAAUUCGUUCAAGAUUUUUUUCUUCCCUAUAAAGUAAAAUUUGUAUUACAAGCUAACCAUGCAAUUUUAUUUCUAAAUGGAAGCUGUAUAAAUAUGAAAAAUCUUCUGGUCAGAAAAACAUAUAAUGACAUCCUGGAAACUUAUUUUGUAGAAAGACGUAUUCAAGGGGUUCAAGAAUUCUGAACAGUGGAACAAAGGUGUGCAAGUUCAAUGACCAUGGAAUUAUGUUCCAAAAUAAAAAUAACCAAUAUAAACUCCUACAGAUAUGGUGUUUUGCUGUUGUUGUUUGUUUGUUUGUUUGUUUUUCCUGGAAAUGCAAGUUUUCUAAAAAUAUUAAAUACAUAUCAUCAUCUCAGCCUCAUCAUCAACCUGUUUGUCUACAGUUCUCUUCUUUUUUGUAAUACUGCUUCUCUCCUCAUUCUUUCCUGCUUUAUCACAUUUUUAAUAUCUUCCCAUAUUUCUCUGUUUUAUCUUUUAUUAUUAUUUCCUAAUCUUUCUCAUUUUUGGUAUACCUUCCUUUGAAAUCAGUGCAUGAAAUGGAUAAAAUAGGUUAAGGCCCAACACCAUUUGGUUUUAUGUAAGCUGAUGUCUGUACGCUCAGUGCAGUGUAAUUAACUUAUUUAUCAGCUUUCCAUAUCAUGAUUCAUUCAGAAAUGCUUAACAUCUGUAACUAGGACAGGAAACUAUUGAUUAAAUUAUGAUGAAGUGGUAAUUAAACUGCGGCUUUUUUCAUAUUUGAAAAAUAUAUUUUUAUAAAGCACUAAAAAUUUGUGCUUGUUAAAAUACUAAUGAAGAGAAAAAGUAAGAAAAAGAAAUAAAGGUUUCUUAGCUGUCUGUUUACUAUGUGGUUAAAUGUGUUUUGGAGCAGUAAUCCCAGAAAGAUGACAAAAGAAGUAAUUAUCUACACAAAAAAAUGCAUCCUCAUCAUUUACAACUUUGAUCCUCAUUGUGAAUCAGUGUACAAUUUAGUAGUUUUAUUUGUUGAUUUUUGUUGUUAUAGUUUUUGUCUCUUUAUCAGCAACUUACUACCUGGAAAUGCUAAAAAGUGCAUAAAAAUAUGAUAUAUAUAUAUGCAGAAACAAUAAAUUCCUUAUUCA
rnacentral:lncRNA from 1 species